rnacentral:rRNA from 1 species
CCUACGGGAGGCAGCAGUGGGGAAUAUUGGGCAAUGGGCGCAAGCCUGACGCAGCAACGCCGCGUGAAGGAAGAAGGCUUUCGGGUUGUAAACCUCUAUUCUGAGGGACGAAGAUAGCGAUGGUACCUCAGGAAUCAGCCACGGCAAACUUCGGGGCAGCAGCCGCGGUACUCCGAAGGGGGGAAGCUUACUCCGGUUCUCUGGGUGGAAAGGGCGUGUAGGCGGGAAAGCAAGUCAGAUGUGAAAACUGAGGGCUCAACCCUGAGCCUGCUUUUGAAACUGUUUCUCUUGAGUGCUGGAGAGGCAAGCGGAAUUCCGUGUGUAGCGGUGAAAUGCGUAGAUAUUCGGAGGAACACCAGUGGCGAAGGCGGAUUACUGGACAGUAACUGACGCUGAGGCGCGAAAGCGUGGGGAGCAAACAGGAUUAGAUACCCGGGUAGUC